AUUGAACGCUGGCGGCAUGCCUAACACAUGCAAGUCGAACGGAGAUAGGGGCAACCUUAUUUCAGUGGCGGACGGGUGAGGAAUGCGUCGGAAUCUGCCCUAUGGUGGGGGAUAACACAGGGAAACUUGUGCUAAUACCGCAUAAUGUCGAGAGACCAAAGACAGGGGACCGGCAAGGCCUUGCGCGAUAGGAUGAGCCGACGCCCGAUUAGCUUGUUGGUAGGGUAAUGGCCUACCAAGGCGACGAUCGGUAGCUGGUCUGAGAGGAUGAUCAGCCACACUGGGACUGAGACACGGCCCAGACUCCUACGGGAGGCAGCAGUGGGGAAUAUUGGACAAUGGGCGGCAAGACCUGAUCCAGCAAUAG
rnacentral:rRNA from 1 species